rnacentral:rRNA from 2 species
GUCCCACCUGACCCCAUGCCGAACUCAGAAGUGAAACGCCGUAGCGCCGAUGGUAGUGUGGGGCCUCCCCAUGCGAGAGUAGGGAACUGCCAGGC